GUGAUGAGCCCUCGCGAGAUUUAGAAAUUUCCCAUCAGGCGGUGCGGCCAGCGCUUCCUCCUCUUUCGCCAUAUUGACCAAGCGGCAUCAUGGUGCGUAUGAAUGUUCUUGCUGAUGCCCUUACCAGCAUCAACAAUGCAGAGAAACGCGGAAAACGCCAGGUUCUCAUCCGGCCAUGCUCCAAAGUGAUUGUGAGAUUCCUGACUGUAAUGAUGAAGCAUGGCUACAUUGGAGAGUUUGAGAUUAUUGAUGACCACAGAGGUGGGAAAAUAGUUGUCAAUCUCACCGGUAGACUGAACAAGUGUGGUGUCAUUAGCCCCAGAUUCGAUGUUCAAGUAAAAGAGCUCGAAAGGUGGCAAAAUAGUCUCCUGCCUUCCCGUCAGUUUGGUUGGCAACGUUAGAUGAGUACAGUAAUACACUUCAGUUGGAUGAUAUGGCAAGCUCACUAGGAUUGAAAUCCAGAGGUCCAGGUACAUCGUUCUAACGACCUCAGCAGGGAUCAUGGACCAUGAAGAGGCCAAACGGAAACACACGGGAGGAAAAAUUCUAGGAUUCUUUUUCUAAAACGUGCAACCUGUCUAUAAUAAAACAUUGAAAUCA